CAGCCGCCGCGGGAAUACGUAGGGUGCGAGCGUUAAUCGGAAUUACUGGGCGUAAAGCGUGCGCAGGCGGUUCGUUAAGACAGAUGUGAAAUCCCCGGGCUUAACCUGGGAACUGCAUUUGUGACUGGCGAGCUAGAGUAUGGCAGAGGGGGGUAGAAUUCCACGUGUAGCAGUGAAAUGCGUAGAGAUGUGGAGGAAUACCGAUGGCGAAGGCAGCCCCCUGGGCCAAUACUGACGCUCAUGCACGAAAGCGUGGGGAGCAAACAGGAUUAGAUACCCGUGUAGUCCCUGUCUCUUAUAA
rnacentral:rRNA from 1 species